UGGUAAUGCCGGAUGCUCCGACUCCUCGCAUGGGGUGUCGGGAAAGAUUCAUCGGUAUGGGAUGGGGUCGCGUCCUAUCAGGUAGUCGGCGGGGUAACGGCCCACCGAGCCUACGACGGGUAGCCGGCCUGAGAGGGCGACCGGCCACAUUGGGACUGAGAUACGGCCCAGACUCCUACGGGAGGCAGCAGUGGGGAAUAUUGCACAAUGGGCGCAAGCCUGAUGCAGCGACGCCGCGUGCGGGAUGACGGCCUUCGGGUUGUAAACCGCUUUUGAUCGGGAGCAAGCCUUCGGGUGAGUGUACCUUUCGAAUAAGCACCGGCUAACUACGUGCCAGCAGCCGCGGUAAUACGUAGGGUGCAAGCGUUAUCCGGAAUUAUUGGGCGUAAAGGGCUCGUAGGCGGUUCGUCGCGUCCGGUGUGAAAGUCCAUCGCUUAACGGUGGAUCUGCGCCGGGUACGGGCGGGCUGGAGUGCGGUAGGGGAGACUGGAAUUCCCGGUGUAACGGUGGAAUGUGUAGAUAUC
rnacentral:rRNA from 1 species